rnacentral:rRNA from 1 species
GACGAACGCUGGCGGCGUGCCUAAUACAUGCAAGUAGAACGCUGAAGGAGGAGCUUGCUUCUCUGGAUGAGUUGCGAACGGGUGAGUAACGCGUAGGUAACCUGCCUGGUAGCGGGGGAUAACUAUUGGAAACGAUAGCUAAUACCGCAUAAGAGUAGAUGUUGCAUGACAUUUGCUUAAAAGGUGCAAUUGCAUCACUACCAGAUGGACCUGCGUUGUAUUAGUUAGUUGGUGGGGUAACGGCUUACCAAGGGGACGAUACAUAGCCGACCUGGGAGGGGGAUAGGCCACACUGGGACUGGGACACGGCCCAGACUCCUACGGGAGGGAGCAGUAGGGAAUCUUCGGGAAAGGGCGGAAGGCUGACCGGGGAACGCCGGGGGAGGGAAGAAGGUUUUCGGAUCGUAAAGCUCGGUUGUAAGAGAAGAACGAGUGUGGGAGUGGAAAGUUCACACUGUGACGGUAUCUUAUCAGAAAGAGACGGCUAACUACGUG